rnacentral:tRNA from 1 species
UGGCUCAGCGGUUAAGAGCACUUGACUGUUCUUCCAGAGGUCCUGGGUUCAAUUCCCAG